rnacentral:rRNA from 1 species
UGGGGAAUAUUGGACAAUGGGGGCAACCCUGAUCCAGCAAUGCCGCGUGUGUGAAGAAGGUUUUCGGAUUGUAAAGCACUUUCGGCGGGGACGAUGAUGACGGUACCCGCAGAAGAAGCCCCGGCUAACUUCGUGCCAGCAGCCGCGGUAAUACGAAGGGGGCUAGCGUUGCUCGGAAUGACUGGGCGUAAAGGGCGUGUAGGCGGUUUGUACAGUCAGAUGUGAAAUCCCCGGGCUUAACCUGGGAGCUGC